UACGGAGGGUGCAAGCGUUAUCCGGAUUCACUGGGUUUAAAGGGUGCGUAGGCGGUCAGCACAAGUCAGUUGUGAAAUCUCCGAGCUUAACUCGGAAAGGUCAACUGAUACUGUGCGGCUAGAGUGCGGAAGGGGCAACUGGAAUUCUUGGUGUAGCGGUGAAAUGCGUAGAUAUCAAGAGGAACACCUGCGGCGAAGGCGGGUUGCUGGGCCGACACUGACGCUGAGGCGCGAAAGCCAGGGGAGCGAACGGG
rnacentral:rRNA from 1 species